GUUCGGGUAGCUCAAUUGGGAGAGCAAAACACUGAAAAUGUUUGGGUUAUUGGUUCAAAUCCAAUCUUGAGCA
rnacentral:tRNA from 1 species